GAUGAACGCUGGCGGCGUGCCUAAUACAUGCAAGUCGAGCGAACGGACGAGAAGCUUGCUUUUCUGAUGUUAGCGGCGGACGGGUGAGUAACACGUGGAUAACCUACCUAUAAGACUGGGAUAACUUCGGGAAACCGGAGCUAAUACCGGAUAAUAUUUUGAACCGCAUGGUUCAAAAGUGAAAGACGGUCUUGCUGUCACUUAUAGAUGGAUCCGCGCUGCAUUAGCUAGUUGGUAAGGUAACGGCUUACCAAGGCAACGAUGCAUAGCCGACCUGAGAGGGUGAUCGGCCACACUGGAACUGAGACACGGUCCAGACUCCUACGGGAGGCCGCAGUAGGGAAUCUUCCGCAAUGGGCGAAAGCCUGACGGAGCAACGCCGCGUGAGUGAUGAAGGUCUUCGGAUCGUAAAACUCUGUUAUUAGGGAAGAACAUAUGUGUAAGUAACUGUGCACAUCGUGACGGUACCUAAUCAGAAAGCCACGGCUAACUACGUG
rnacentral:rRNA from 1 species